rnacentral:rRNA from 1 species
AUGUUUAAUAUGAGACAAUAUUCUAAUACCUCUGAAUUGAAUUCUUUAGGCUACAGAAAGGUUGGAAGCAGCCUACCCAACAAUAAAGGAGUUGUCUCUUGUUGGUGCUCUAAGGCUGCGAAGCAAGCAUCGCCAGCUUUUGUUGUUGGCUGUGAAGGCAAUUCAAGAAAAGCCCAGAGUCCUCAAGCUGUGGGACAAGGACAAGCUUCAUGUAGAGAAUACCCAAGCUAUAAUUUACUGCAAUUCACAUGUUUUGAAUUCUUCAAUCUUGAAUUGUUUAAUGAUGAUAGCUAUCUUGCGCCGUACUAUAAAAUCAUGGAGGCACUCUUGUUCCUCUCACACUUCAUGGGCGACAUCCACAAGCCACUGCAUGUGGGGUCCUCCUGUGACAAAGGAGAUAACACCAUCAACGUCCACUUGUACAGAAGGAAAUCUGUACUCCACCAUGUAAGGCUAGUUAAGACUUGA